GACUCUGUGGCGCAAUGGUAGCGCGUCUGACUCGAGAUCAGAAGGUUGCGAGUUCGAAUCACGUCAGGGUCA
rnacentral:tRNA from 1 species